CCAUAAACUAACGUUCCCAGAACAUUGCGGGGUGGCUUGCGUGACAACCUAAAACAAACAUAUAUAGAACGUUCUCUAAUGGUUAUUGUUAGGUUUUAUGUUUAUAACCAUAAACUAACGUUCCCAGAACAUUGCGGGGUGGCUUGUGUGACAACCUAAAACAAACGUAUAUAGAACGUUCUUUAAUGGUUAUUGUUAGAUUUUAUUUUUAUAACCAUAAACUAACGUUCCCAGAACAUUGCGGGGUGGCUUGCGUUACAACCUAAAACAAACGUAUAUAGAACGUUCUCUAAUGGUUAUUGUUAGGUUUUAUUUUUAUAACCAUAAACUAACGUUCCCAGAACAUUGUGGGGUG